AGAGCGAGACGUAAUGCUGAGGCUGAAGCCACCGAGUUUAUUUGAUCUGGAUGUGACAAGUCUUGUUUUAAGGCCCAGUGGAUCAAUGAUUGGAAAGACACCAACUGUUGAUGUUCUAUCUCAACAUUCUCCAGAUUCAUGUGAGCGAUAAACCGACUUCAUCCCUCCAACAGACACCAACUGUUGGGGUUCUAUCUCAACAUUCUCCAGAUUCAGAUGUGAGCGAUAAACCGACUUCAUCCCUCCAACAGAAACCAACUGUUGAGGUUCCAUCUCAACAUUCUCCAGAUUCAGAUGUGAGCCAUUAACUGACUUCAUCCCUCCAACAGAAACCAACUGUUGAGGUUCUAUCUCAACAUUCUCUAGAUUCAGAUGACAGCCAUAAACCGACUUCAUCCCUCCAACAGAUUGAAAGCAGGACAAAUCGCUGGAAGUGGGUAUGUCUCAAGCUUCUUCCACUUGGUCCACUCCAAAGCGGGGUAAAUAAAUAAUCUACAUCAUUUACUAGAAUAUUAUAUUACGUUUUGCACCUUUUCACUGUAUUAUAGUCCUUAUUCCUUCAGUAAGAAAUUGUAUUUUGUCUCCUUUAUGACAACUGCAAAGGGGAAGAAGUGGAAGCAGUUGAAUGACACAUGUUGCAUUUUGUAACUGGCAACAAAGUACCAGGUAAAAAAGAUUGUGAAGCCUGCCUCCAUAAAGAACUAGUAGCUCUACAGGACAGAGAUUGGCUUGCCAUCAAGUACUACAUCCAUAACAGAAUUAUAUUAAAAAAAGGGAAAAAAAAUGUUUUCCCACAUCUUCUGUGGUAGUUUGAGUAUGUUACCAGCAAUUAAAAAAGCAAAAUAAACA